GAUGAACGCUGGCGGCGUGCUUAACACAUGCAAGUCGAACGAAGCACUUAAGAUUGAUUCUUCGGAUGACGUCUUUUGUGACUUAGUGGCGGACGGGUGAGUAACGCGUGGGUAACCUGCCUCACACAGGGGGAUAACAGUUAGAAAUGACUGCUAAUACCGCAUAACCCGAUAGGAUCGCAUGAUCCAGACGGAAAAGAUUUAUCGGUGUGAGAUGGACCCGCGUCUGAUUAGCUAGUUGGUGAGGUAACGGCCCACCAAGGCGACGAUCAGUAGCCGGCCUGAGAGGGUGAACGGCCACAUUGGGACUGAGACACGGCCCAAACUCCUACGGGAGGCAGCAGUGGGGAAUAUUGCACAAUGGGGGAAACCCUGAUGCAGCGACGCCGCGUGAGUGAAGAAGUAUUUCGGUAUGUAAAGCUCUAUCAGCAGGGAAGAAAAUGACGGUACCUGACUAAGAAGCCCCGGCUAACUACGU
rnacentral:rRNA from 1 species